CCUACGGGAGGCAGCAGUGGGGGAUAUUGCACAAUGGAGGAAACUCUGAUGCAGCGACGCCGCGUGAGUGAAGAAGUAAUUCGUUACGUAAAGCUCUGUCAGCAGGGAAGAAAAUGACGGUACCUGAGUAAGAAGCCCCGGCUAACUACGUGCCAGCAGCCGCGGUAAUACGUAGGGGGCAAGCGUUGUCCGGAUUUACUGGGUGUAAAGGGAGCGUAGACGGUGCGGCAAGUCUGGAGUGAAAUGUCGCAGCUUAACUGCGGAACUGCGUUGGAAACUCGCGUACUAGAGUGCGGGAGGGGUAGGCGGAAUUCCUAGUGUAGCGGUGAAAUGCGUAGAUAUUAGGAGGAACACCAGUGGCGAAGGCGGCCUGCUGGGCCGUAACUGACGCUGAGGCUCGAAAGCGUGGGGAGCAAACAGGAUUAGAUACCCCAGUAGUC
rnacentral:rRNA from 1 species